GCUCCGCGUCCGGGGGCAGGGAGGCCGCGGCGGAGGGGCCGCCGGGGCCGCCGCCAGCAGCGCCGGCGGGGGGAGCGGGAGCAGGAGGAGGAGCUGGAGACUGAAGGUACGAGGGGCGAGAUGAGCAGGAGGAAUGUGCCUCAGAGGUAAAAAUAAGGAAUAUGGUCUGGAAAAGAGGGUGACUGCACCUGAAGGCAUUGCUCAGAACAGGAAGGUGUAUGCUAAUGAGUAAGUAAGCCUUUUGAAGGUUCAGUUUGUAGCACUCCAGGCAAUGCUGAACCACAGACUGAAAUGAAUUCUGUAGCGAAAUGCAUUUAGAAACUUGGCUACAGUCAAUCAGAUACUAAAAAAAAAAAAAAAAAAAUAAAAAGAGUUACAAAAAAAUCUCAGCACUGGAAUGAAAAAGUGGAGUGAUCAACAUUAAGUGAGAAAACAGAAAGGUAAGAGAUGUUGGGAGGAAAAGCUGAGAUUUUACUUUUCUUGUGCCUCGUUUCAAGAAGCAGCGAAGAAAACUACAGGAAGAAACACAGGCUGGGAUGAGAAGGGAAGGGUAAGUGUGAAAGUCAUCAGCGCUGAGGAAGGGAGAGAAGUCACCCAGAGGCCAGGGCAGAGGGUGGAGGGAGAAGCAGCAGCGAAGCCAGAAACCAGCAGAGUGAGUUUUCCUCGUGUUUGCAUAAGCUAGCACCUGUAUUGCUCGCAGCUGGAGCAGCCCAUAUGGGGGGUGGGAGACCUUCCUUCCCUGGGAAACGGGAGGAUUGCUGUUUUACAUAUGAACGAGGCCUGAUGACAGAAAAUGACUCCAGUUGUAUGCUAAUGUCGAAGCGUUUACGCUGCUGAUACUGUUGGAAGUACCAUUUCCAGCGGGGAAGGACCCACAGUGUUUUAUUUCCCUGCAGGAUCUCCACUAAUCUCCAUUAUAUUAAUACACUUGGAGUGCUUUGUUUUCCUCAAGUGGGCCUGAGAGGAGGGUGAUAAAUGGACCUAAGUGAUACAAAAUGCUGCAGUGUUUGGUUAUCUGGAGUGAGCGUGUUGUGCUCCCAAAUUUGGAACGAUGUAUUAAUAAAUUGUAAAACUGCUGGUGACUUGUUUGAUUAUUUGGUUUUUUUCCCUCUCAAGUAAUGGCAACAUGAACUUUAAAGGGCACCAUAAUGUUGUGUAUUUUCAUUACAGGAUCUCUCUAAAGGGGAGGUGAAGGUGUGAACGAGGCUGUAAAAUCACCUUAGAUGAGAAAUCACAGCAAGCAGAGGAACACACACAAUUGGUUUAGAUGGCUAGAUGAACUCACUGUCAGUAUGCCACAGACAGUGUUACCCUGAACAUUGCUGGAGCAGAUCCUUUUCCUGGUAAUCAAAUAGUGAAGCUGAGCGAAACAGAAAUUGUGGCAGCUGUUGUAAAGUUUAAUUUCUUUUACGUGGUUUUAAUAGAGGUGGAGUAGACUGAAAACUUAAUUGAUAAUGUCCAUAACCAUCAGAUAAAGUCAGUUUAUUCAGUGGUUUGUUUUCCCUGUGGAUGAGACAAAUCUGUUUGUCCCGAGACCAGCCCGUUUUCUCAUUAAAUGGAUCCUCGCUGCUUGUUGCCAUCCUCUGUCUAGGAAAUCUUCCUGGAAGUGUGUGCAUUUUAUCUUUUUGUAACCUAGUGAUAUUUUGUAACACUGUUCUCUAAGACAGCGAAAAAGUCUGCUUAGAGUAAGUGCCUUUGCAGAAUCCUGGUAUCCAGGAUACUUAUAAACAGCUUUUUCUGAAAGAUCUGUUGGGUGAUAGAAAAAUUCCUUUGCUAGAUCCUGUUUAUUAGGUAUGUUACCUUAAUGUGUGCAUAUUAAAAGGUGUGUUUAGAAGUUGCAUUAGACAUAUUAAUAAUUCUGAAUAUUGAAAACACUUUGAUUCCUGUCUUCAUAAGGAAUGCUUUUGUUUCAAGUGCAGCUGCCACUUGCUGUUUAGGAGCUGAGCUUUGGUGGGUUUAAAUGUCUUCUGAAGUGUAGUUCAUAACUGAGUGCCUAGAGCCAGUCAUGGUAGUGUAUGUGCUUCCCUCUCAAGUCAGGAAUUUAAUAUAAUAAAUAUAUUUUGCUGAAACAUAAGCUGAUACAAUUUUUCACUCCAUUUAAGACCAAAAUCUUAAAUUGAAGCGCUGUAACACAGUCUGUGCAGCACACCAGCCUGGAGCAGUACUGAGUUUUGUGUUGCUCAUUUUUUUCUCUAAAUGAACCAUCUCCACUUGGAAAAAAUAAAUCUUUUAUAGAGUCAAGAAUAUCGUGUGAUGGUUAGGAGACAGAUUUAAGGACUUAAGGUAACAGUUUAAUGGGAAUCAUCUACCUGAGGUCCGAGGAAUGGUCUCCUCCUGGUGUGGUGUGGCAGCAGGGCUGGGCUGCCUCGGCUACUUGCUGACACCCAAAGGAGAAGGCCUUACUCUCCCUCCUUCCCUCCUCUCACUGCUGGUGAUGAGGCCUGGCCACGAGGUGAGCAGUGAAUUCGCCCCCCUGGCAAAAGCACGUUUACUGUUGGUUUUGUUUUGCCGGAGGUCACUCUAAUGUAAUUUUGCUGAGCUGAGUCAGCUCGCCUUUGCAUGAAGUGAGCAAUGAGAGCUGGCUCAGGGUGAGCAGUGGUGGUGUGCAGCUGGAAGGAGAUGCCAGGGAAGAGCAGGGAACUUUUGAUGAUGAGAUGUUGUUUAUGCUCAUGGUAUAUUCAAUACAGAAAUCUCUGGAGCCUGGGAGUGCUGGAGGAAAUACCUCUGCAGACAGUGACUGGCUCCUCUGCCUGUUUGCCACCUCAGCCAGAAUCAAGCCAGCUCUGAUGCAGAACUGUGUUAGCUAAUAUACACAGCCCCUCAGGGAAACCUUCCUAUUUUCCUCUUUCUCUUUAAAUUAUUUAAUGUUACACAGUGCAGAAUGGCCACGUUGCUUUUCGAUGUUUAAAGUGACCGUAUGCCAAAUGAAAUGCAGGAUCAAACCAGUGGGGAGUUGGCAGUUUUCUGUGAUUUGAUCAUCAUUGAAGCAAUAUAUCAAUCGCAAAUGCAGGCCCAGAAUAGUGCUUCAGUUAAUGAUUGACAUGGAUUUAUUUAAUCUGUAUCGAAUUAAUGAAUUAAUUAUUUGGUUUGUAGUGUGCUAUAGUUAUUACUCGUGUUAACAGAAAAAUUUGGGCCAGUGUUUGAGUGUGAUUGAAUGUUUUGUAUGUUGUGUAUCAUAGAAUCAUCGAGUGGUUUGGGUUGGAGGGGACCUUAAAGAUCAUCCAGUUCCAACCUCCCUGCCAUGGGAAGGGACACCUUCCAUUAGACCACCUUGCUCAAAGCCCCAUCCAACCUGGCCUUGAACACUUCCAGGGGCAGGGCAUCCACAUCUUCUCUGGGCAACCUGUUCCAGUGCCUCACUACCCUCACACCAUAACAGGUGAUGCCUGGUUUUGGUCUUGUUCUGGCUCUUUCUUUGUGUUUAAGUCAAAAUGUUGUGGGGUGUUUUUUUUUUUUUUUUUUUUUUCCCUUUAAGAGGCUUUCAGCUAAAUCAGUAAACUGGGCUUUGCAAUGAAAUUCUUAACAAAAUGCUUCAGGGCAAUUUUCGAUGGGCUGAAAAGAAUCAUGGAAGAAUAGUCAGAGGCACAUGCUGGCUCAGCAGCUUCAGCUGCUGUUGAUGGAAGAGAGUGGUUAAAGGCAGAGCGUGCAGUUAAUGGUGCAAGUCUGAGAUUACAGCUUGGUUGUUGAAAGUGGACAAAAAGGAUUGUGUUUCAGUUCAUAAUAAUACUUUAUUUUGGAACUAUCACGGUAUCAUGAAUGGUUCACUAACAUACACAAACAUCUUGGUGGUUAGUUUUCAGUGGCUAACCAUUUGUCAACAAAAGCUCUAGAAAUAAGCUUAACAAAUAACCUUGUGCUGAGAAUGAGCCUUCACAAUUGUUUGGAAGUAGUGUUUCAGAGACUUGAGGAUGUUCUUUUUUGAAAACGAAUGUUUCAAAGAUAAAACAUUCAAAAAACUUGAACAUGUCUAAUCAGAUGAACUUUGGAGAAGUUCUGGCCAAAACUGAGCUGGGUCUGAUGCAUUAACAAAUUGUGAAAAGUGCACAAAAUGAAAUUUCUGCAGUGCCUGUCUCAGCUGAAUGCUGAUGGGUGGCAGACAUCCCCUUACAGAUCCUGGAUGCAGCACCUUUGAGGAAGCUCUGUCUGUGCUGCCAGGCUACCUGAGCAGGAAUGGGUAAGUAGAUCAGAUAGGCAGUAAUAACAUCAGUCUUGGUUAGGCCUGUUAUUAAUCACUGGCUGUGUUGUUUGUUGUUGUAAUUGUGAUUCUGACCAAAGCAGAAAAUUGCAGUUGCUUAACAGAUUAGAUUUUGCAUUUAAUUUGGCACAUGGCCUCUUUAAACAUAAAGCCAGGCAUUAAGGAAUGUGUAAAUAGGGAAGAAAGUGCUGCCUCUCAAAGAACACGCUCGAUCUUGGAGCCUCACAGCAAAUACUCUCUUUCUUUGCAUUUCUUCACUUCUAUUAGUCUGGUCAUUUAUUUGAUAACUUAAGUACGUGUGCAAACAAAUGAAGCAAAAUCUUCAGUGUUCAUUCUGUUGAGCUGGAGUUGAUCUGUGAAAUCGUGGUACAUCUGACGUGACUCGGGAUGACUGAGGCUCAGUGCAGCGAUGAGCUGGAAGGCCUGAUCUCCUUCCCAUUCCCAAUCCUCCUCUGGUUGUGUGGUUUCACGCCUUCCAAGGUGCCUCCACUGGCCCUUGUGUUGUCUCAACUCACCCACUCUUGGGAAAGCUGUCCAUGUUUUUGCUGGAUGAUUUACGAAGGGAUGUUGUAAGCACCAGAACUGGUAUAAGGUGAGUGGGAGAAACGUGCAGUGGGGUAUAGGAAAAAGAAAACUUAAGUAAAACCUUUGCUCUUGAAUAAACUCAUAAUUUUAACAGGGAGUAUUUUAUUGUAACUCUUACUAGAUGUUUUCCUUUGUCUCAUAUCCAUGCUGGUUAUUUAACAAUAAAUACUGGAUGUUUGUGUAUUCGGUACUUAGGAGUUGCUGAUCUUUAGAGAAAUUAAACUGAAGCUGCUUGAACUACCUGAGUGAUCACAGGUGUUUCCUAUUUCCUAAAUGCAGUAGCACUGUAUCAGGAAUUUUUAAAUCUGUUACAAGGCCGUUUCAAAACUUAUAUUUAAUUGUAACAGUUUCUACACCAAAAUAUUUUACCUGACGUUUUUCUGAAGUCUGGCUGCUCCCUUUUAAGUGUGAGCCUCUGGAGGCUCCCAGAAUGUAGGCAGCAAGAUGCCUUUUGUUUCAGUGUUUUAUUUAGUCUGGGUGCUGUGGAAAAAAGUAGGAGUGGAAGAAGGAACUGUUUUCCCAAGACUUCUAAUGGGAGUGAAGCAUCUAUGCCAUCAGCUGUAUUUCAAGUAUCAAUCCAGUUGACUGAUUAAAGAGAUUCAGUGAAUGUUCAAAUAUAUGAGGAGAUUGUGGUAUCCUGUGGGGAGUUUUAACCAGCUAGCUCAGCUCAGCUCAGCUCAGCUCAUCCUGUGUGGCUGGGAGAAAAAGCAUAAAUUUGAGUAUUAUUUUCCAGAGGGCAAAUCAGGAGUGAUUAAUUUGGUGUAAUUCGCUGUGCUCCAGUAUUUGCUCUGUGCAGUUGCCCUCAUCUGUCCUUCCUGCCUCUCUGGAGAGGUUCAUUCUCACUGCACCACAUAUACCUCCACUUCAGAAUGAAAUCAUCACUACCAUGAGGCACCCUCAUGGUAAAUAAAUAUCUCCUUAUAUCUAGUCUACAUCUACCCUCUUUUGGUUUAAAAUCAUUACUGCUUCUCCUGCUACAACAGGCCCUGCUAAUAAGUUUGUCCCCAUCUUUCUUGUAAGUACUUCAAGAAGAGGGCAUGUAAAGAAAUCAAAAAGGUUGUCAGAGGGGUUUUCUUAUUUUUUAUCAUAGGCUAAAUUAGCAUCUUCUCUUUUGCUGUGAUUAGCUUGUAUAAAUAUUUAUUUGGAAAUUGUUGUACAAAAUACCAUAGAGACUAGCAGAGUUUAAAAUGCUGCUGCCCCUCACCCAACAAAAUGACAGUACUCAACAUCAAAGUGAGAAUUAAAUAUAACCAGUGCGUUCAAAAAGUUCUGACAGAUAAGUAGAAGGAAAUAUGCUCAUAAGAUUAAUUAACAACUGUCUGUACAGUUCAGAAAUGAGUGGAAACAGUCAAAAAUUACCACCUGAAUAAAGAGCAGGGUAUUUGGGAAGACCUGCUUAAGAUUUCUGAGAGGCAAAUACAUCCAAGUUCUUGAUUGUGGAAAUGACAGUCAUAAAUCUGUAUCUGACAGGAAUUAAUUGGAAGACAUUUACAGUACAGAAAGAGUAUUCUUGAGGUGUUUGAAAAAUGGCUUUUAAACCUGCAAUUUCCUUCCUGUUCUCUACACCCCUGAAACAAGUGAGGAUUUCAGCAGUAAAACUUGUUGGCAGGUGGAUAGAAAUUGUGGGUAGAAAAGUUUGUUUUGUUGGGGGUGUUUUGCUUUUUAUUACCUUGAUUGUUCAUUUAAAGCUUUAAACAGUGUUGAGAAUAGCCUGAUAAUUAAUGCAUCUUAUUCACAGCUGGUAAUCUGAGGAGUGAUAAGGAAUUUUGCUAUGCUUUCCAAAUUUGAAAUAUAACUUUGAAGGGCAGAUCAGCCUCAAACAUUCUAGUUAAUAUGAGCAGGCAUUGUUGUAACAAUAGAAUACUCUAAGAUGGGUUUGGCAACAACAUUGUGGUAAAUAAUUUGGCAGAGCAUUAUACUUUUUAUUACCUGAAAUAAUCAGUUAUCUCAUUUUUUUUUGCUCCAAUUCCAGUUCAGCUGAAGCCAAUAAAAAGCUUCGUAGACUUUGACAGGACCUGAAUCGAAUGCCUCAUGACUCGCAUUUCAAUGAACUGUGGUGAGGUAGUUCAAUUCCACGUGGUACUUUGGUUUUGCAGUUCUAAUGAAUUCACAAAAACCCCAACAAAAACACCCCAAAACCUAUACCUGCAUAAUGCUUAUGAUACUAUUCAUCAGAGGAUUUGAUAAAUCAGAUAGGAGGCCUUCCUAUUGUUGCAGCAAUAAACUUUCAGUAGAUUUAUUUUUCAGCUGACAAAGCCAGAGAUCACUUUUGUGACUCUCCGUUAUUUGCUCUAAUUAAUCAACUUUCCCUCUGCUCAUCCUGUUGAAUCACAAGUUCUAAAAAGAGACAAGAUAUAAGGUAAGAGUGUCUCAGUCAGUGUAUGAAAGGAGAAAACCAAACUCAACCCAAACAACUGCUGCUCAAAGGCAUUUUCUCCCUCUACAAGGAGAGGUAAGAUUACACUGUAUUCAACUAAAUUUUAACACUUUGCUCCUUAUUUAUAAUAGGUGGAAUGUGUCUUGCAAAUUGUCAUGUUACUUGUGAUUAAAUUGGAUUCUGCACCAUUUCUGUAGUGUGUUGAAAACAUGACUUUGCCAGAUGGUAACUGUGGUUAAGAAUUAAAGAAUCUCUGAACUCUUUCUUGCAGGCCCUGUGAAAUCCCUUUCCUUGCAAGUCUUCCUAUCACUUCCAUUAGAUUAGUAAUUUUUGAGUCCCAGGGAAAAAAUCUAGAGGUAAGUGUCCUCUAGAGCUGAAAAUGCACAUUCACAAAUUUAAAAACUGUUCCCUAAAUGAAAGGGAACUAUGGGAGAAUAUUUUUGCAAGCUUUUAAUUCCAUGGCGUCAUCAUAACCUUGUCUUUCACUUAUCAAAAUACCUCAGACGGUUCAGUGAUUUCAGCCUCACAGAAUAGUAACCUCCAAGAACUCCAAAAUGAUUUUACAAGUAGGGUGAAAGGGAAUUCUCUCAACAAGAAAGAAGCUGCAAAGAUCUUUGUGACUUGUCAAAAGCCAAAUCUGAUGCUGAAGUUUUAUGAAUGAGAACACCACUGUCCACUGGCAUCAGCUGUUUGGUGUGUUUUUCAGAGGGUGAGACCUCCUUGUCUAGCAUUGUCAAUGUAACCUCUUUAUAUUCCAAGAUUUGGAACGUUUUCUUACUUGCAAAAGCAUUUAAAAAUCUCAGACCAAUCCUCUGCAUCUCACUUAACACCACUGUAGGUUCUAACGUCUUAAAAACCAUAAAAUCCAGUGAAAAUGUUACAUAGAAAGAUCCAGCCUUUAUUAAAGUGCAUUUUAGGCACCAAAUUAAAAUAUAAUUUGAUCUAAUGAAGGGGGAAAAAAGGGGACUUGUUUCUUCUUAAAAAAACUUCCUAGCAUGUGUGUAACUGUAUAGCCACUGUCCAAACCCCAGCCCAACAUGUUUCCUGUGAGAUCCUUGGAUGUGGUUUCCUGGGGCAGGGAGGGGAAGGGACACAAGUGUUGGUCAGCAACUUGUUCAGCAAGAUCUGAAAGCCACAGACUGCUGGGGGUUGAUAUUUUAGCAAGAUGUCAAACUAAUGGUGUCCACAACCAUAGACACAGAAACUGUGUUGAUACAGUUAAUCAGUAAUUCCCUGAAGUCCUCGACUAGUGCUCUGUGGAUACUGGUUAUUGAUCUAAUACAAUGUUUGAUUCUACUUAAAAGAUAUUUUGUCAUCCCAUUAGUGCAAUAGACACUUAUCAACGGACUUUGAUUUGAAAAUUAAAUGUCUUUUUCAACAUUUUAGUUUUUUAAACUACGAAAGAAACACUAGCUGGGAAACCUGGGUAGUUUUUUUAUCCAGGGACAAAUCUCUAGCUCUUUGCUUAACAUGCCCUGACCCACAGUACUCUACUUAAUUCUCUUUGACCUGGUAUUUACUGUUGAACAUCAAAACCAUCUGACACAAAUAUACUUUGUCUGAAGGGGUAGCGUGCCAUGAAAUUAAUGGUUCCUUCUGAUCCAAAAUUAUAAACACAAAAAUACAACAAAUUAGCAAUGUCUAAAAUAAACCAGUGUAAUCCAGAUCAAGUCAUGAAAUCAUUUUCACACUCAAAUCUGUUAUUAGAACGAAUAGAAAAUUCACACAGCAAGGAAGUGAACACGUGGACUUUAAACCAACAAAGUAGACUUCUUAUGGUGGCUUGAAGUCACAAAAAAUUGCUAGUGUCAAUAAGAGCAAUUAAAAUACUGUUCCUUCCGAAGAGGAAAAAAAAGAUGAAACUAUUAAUGAAACAUCAAUAGUUUGAUGGGAUGGCUCAAAGUGCAUAUGGAAGAGGGCAGCAGUCCCAGCCUUGCUCUGUAUGCACUGCCCCCUCUCAGCACAGUGGCUUUGUGCAAAGAACAGCCCUGCAGCCUCUGCAGCAGGUGAGCUCCUUUCCCAAAUGGGAACUCCACUCGUUCCUCGUUAUCCUGAAGAUCUUUCCCGUUUCUGUAAGGCAUCUUGCAAUAUGCAAGGGAACACACACUUCUCCAAAUGUAUGUGAUGCUUCAGUAAUCCCCCCUCAGCCCAGAAGGAGGUUUGUGAUUAGGGGGCAGGAAGGGACAUCGACUUUCUGAACACCCACGUCCCCCUGGGGGGCCCUGGGUAAGGGGGGGGUGGCACGUUGUGCUGUCCGUCUGAAGCCACUGCCUGCUCGUAAGUGGGCAGUCCUGAAUCAUCAGUUCUGGGAGGAAGUGGGUUUAAAGAAAACUCCUCGUGCCUUCUGAAGAUGUUGGCUGAGCCACGUCGUCUGCUCCCGACGUAAUCCAAGUACCUGCACAAAGGUAACGGCAUAAUAAGUGGCAACUUCUGUUUCAAAGGGAAGAAAGAAUAUAAAGUCCUUAUCAUAAAAUAAACAAAAAAACAAACCAACCCAAAAAAACUCCCCACCAAAAACCCACAUCAGAGGGAAAAAACAUGCCUUCAGUGAUCAUAAAGCCAAAUACUCUCUCCAAACCACAGGGUAAGAAUAAUAGCUCAGUAAUGUGAAAUUUAUAAGGAAGAGGAAGCACAGAAUCCUCUUACAUUCCUUUCAAGUUUAGGAUAAAGGAACAAGCAGGAAUAGAGAACUGGUAAAGGGGAAUUUCCUCCAAACUACUCCAUCUCACAUCUGAGGUUGACUGUGUGCCAUGAAAGGCAUUCAUCCUAUGAGACUUUCCACUGCAGGCCCCAAUCUAGUAAAAUAAUUCCAUCUUUUUAGUAAGAAUAUUUUGGAACCAAGAAACACACACACACAAAAAAGCAAAGCCAAAGGUUUGGGUGUGCAAGCAUCAAGGUUUUGUGCUAUUAACUUCAGCAGAAGUACUGCUAGUGCUCACCUAACUUGGCUUGCAGGCAAGUACAAAUGAGAACUCCCAUGAGAUUCUCUGAGAAUGCAGUUAGACCAACCCACACUGAUUUUUAAAUUCCACUGUUAAGCAAGAGUUUGUUUUGGGGUGUGUUUGCUUUUUGUUUGGUUUUGUUUGUUUGUUUGUUAUUUUUUUAAAAGCAGUGAAAUUCCUUACCCUGGAGGUUGCCUUGAUUUGCAUCUGCUUUUGCAGCAGUAGAAGACAAUCAGUGCAAUUAUAACCAACAGUACUCCAGCAGCAACGAGACUGAUGAGAAGUCCUGUGACAUUGAUCUUUUGUAGUGUCUCAUCUCCUGAAGAGAAAACAUUGUUUAUUUUCAUUACGUAUUCUUUCCAUCUACCCAGUUUGCACUGUGAAAUGCUGCUUGAGAUGUCCAUCUUCUAACGCUUUCCAAGUAUUACUUCACGUGCUUUUGACCUUGAUCAGGCUGUAGAUACCAGUUUUUCAUUAAACAUCUGGCAUCAGACUACUCUGAGCCUAAUUCAGACUGUUAUAUUACUGUUAAAGACAUGGGAGGGAGAGCAAACAAAAUAAAACCACGGAAAGCAGCCACAGAAUUAUUACAAAGUUUACCAAUUGUGCAAUAAAGAAAUGGCCGUGAAAAUUAUAUUGUUUUUACCUACAGAGUUAUAAUGGAUCCCAUUCUAAGAUGCUUCAGUGAGUAUGUUUUAUGGCAUCAGAUAAUGAAAUGUACGAUUCACAGUGAUCUUCAGUAAAAAAAUCAAUUCUGAUGUUGCUAACUGGAUGCACAGUGUAUUGAGUGUACUGUUAUAACAAACAGAAAGUGCAGCAAUAUAAGAAAAAAAUAAGAAGAUAACUUACCUAUUUUUAUUUUAGGGCCUUUAGUUGAAUAGUCUUUCCAAAAAUCCAUCUGUAAAAAAAGACCCCAAAUAAUCAGAUUUAUAGUUGACAGGCCUAUUGACUUUAUUGUCUUUAAUACGGUACGUUGGGCAAAAUUUAACAACGGCAUAAACAGAAGCAGCUCCUGCUGAAGGGUUUGUACUUGCUCGUCCCAUGACAUUUUUCUUACACGUCCAAGUUUGCAUUGAAAUUUCACAAAGCAAAAAUUACCACUUGGUGAAAGAGAAAAGUGUAUUAAACUGUCCAGUGUUACAUCAUAUUUCUGCCUGAUUACAGAAGAAGUGACCAUAUAUUCUGACACUAAAAAAAUGCUUCCAGUUAAUCUUUGUAAAUCCCUACAGAACAGUAUUUAUGAGGCAAAGUUCUUAAUAAGAAUCCUACAUUUGCAUGAAUGGUAUUUGAAUUCACAUGAGCUAAGCAAAAUAAUGAGAUUUAUUCAAGAGAGAAACUUUCAUGUUGCAUGACCAUCAGGCAUUAAAUGUGUUCAGCCAUAAUUUCCACCUUUGCUACCCAGCAAGACUCCCUCAAGAUUCUCAGCUUAUUGGGCUGAAGGGUUUCUUAUAUUUUUUUCUCAUUUUUUUAUAGCAGGUUUCUUCCCAUAUAGGGAGAAAUUCAGAAGGUAACACUUUAGGAACACUCAGCAAUAGCUGAACUGCAGAUUUGCUCCGUACUGAUCUCUUCUAAGACACGAGGAUGGCAUCUGCCAAUUAAUAAUAAUGCUGAGAAGUUACUUAAAAAAAAAUUAAAAAAAAUAAAAGAGUCUGUAAAUCUAUUGGAAUAUCUACAAGUGGGACUUCUGAAGCUUCAUUUCUGUUUGUUUGCAGACAUAACAUAAUAUAUAAAUAAUGAUUUAGCCAGGAGCCUCCCUCAGUAUAUUAAAUUCAGUUUGAACCGCUACCGUUUUGUCGUGGUCUUCAAAAAUUUCUCUUGCUUCUUCAUAGUUGCACAGCUCUUCAUAGCAUUCUCUCUCCAGGUUAUCUGCCGUGAAUACUUCGAAAUCAAAUCUGUUGUUCAGAAGGUGUCGUCCGAUGAAUAAAUUGGCCUCCUUUUCAGAGGUGAACACUAAUUAAAAUAAAAUCGAGGUGAUGUAAGACAAGGUAGGGAAGGGUAGGGAAGCUGAACUUGAUAUUUUUAAAGAAUGGUCAAGAUCCCAAAGGAGCACACUGAGAUCACUCCUUCCCCAAGCAUCUCUCAGCUAUGUACAAGAAAAAGAAAUGUCAAGGUUUCCUCCUAAAUGUCUUCUUCGCUGCUAUAUUUUCUAACUAUGUAAUUAAAACAAACGUAUUUCCCUUUCAGCUAUUCCUUGUACUGGCCAAGAGAAUUUGAUUAUCAUGAGAGCUGUUGGUCAAGCUUUGGUGUUGUCCCUUCUGGAUGGUUUUUACUGGAGCUCUUAAGAGCAAGGCUUCGUGAGGCCUCGUGGAGCAAGUUGUGAGGUGAGAUUCCAGAAUAGUGAGUGAAAUUGUAGAAGGCUUUGGAAUACAGGAAUGUAUUUCCUCACCAGGCAUUUUCCAUAGUCAAGUUUUGGCCUGUUCUUGCUACAGUUUCUUAGGAAAAGAAAAAAAAAAAUUAAAAAAUCUUU